rnacentral:rRNA from 1 species
UAGGUCGACCCGCUGAAUUUAAGCAUAUCAGUAAGCGGAGGAAAAGAAAUUAACAAAGAUUUCCUUAGUAGCGGCGAGCGAACAGGAAUUAGCCCAACGCCGAAUCCUUCACCUUUUUGGUGCUUGGAAAUGUGGCCUAAGGCACUAUUCUUACGGCAUUAUGUUACCGUUUUAAGUUCACUCGAUUGUGGCAUCGAGCCCAUAGAGGGUGUCAGGCCCGUAUGAACGGUACAUUUUGUCUGGAGUAGUGUCAAGAGUAGGGUUGCUUGGGAAUGCAGCUCAAAUCGGGUGGUAAACUCCAUCCAAGGCUAAAUACAACACGAGUCCGAUAGCGAACAAGUACCAUGAGGGAAAGUUGAAAAGAACUUUGAAGAGAGAGUUCAACAGUGCGUGAAACCGCUCAAAGGGAACCGGGUAGAGCUGAAGGAGACUCGGCACAUUUGUAUUUCGGCCUGUUCAUUAUCGCGUUGCGGAGACUUAUUGCUCGGAUGUUAUAAUGGGGCGUUUUGCUAUACUGUUGUGCCUUGUCGACACCACGAUCAGUAGGUACAUUGGUCUGGCAUAGAUGGGAAGGUAGCUCACUUUUUGUGAGUGUUAUAGCCCAUUUAUCUAGCACCAGUGGAGUACUGUAGAUUUGCAUUAUAUGAAAGGUUGACUGAGAUGUUGGGCUGCUGUUGCAACUCAUAAUGAGAUGAAGUGGUUGUCCCGGUGUUUUGGUUGAUCCUCUUUGUAUGGUGUUAAUAAUCAGUGGUGGCAUGGUAGGCAUUCUACCCGACCCGUCUUGAAACACGGACCAAGGAGUUUAGCAUGUACGCGAGUCAUGGGGUCUUACGAAACCUAAAGGCGCAGUGAAAGUAAAGGUUAACUUUUUGUUAGCUGAGGUAGGAUCUUGGUUUUCAUUGGGCAGUUUACUGCACAUGGACUGGGCGCACUACCAGCUCGUCCCAUGCUCUAUUGAGUGGGGCGAAGCAAGAGCGUACAUGCUGAGACCCGAAAGAUGGUGAACUAUGCUUGCGUAGGUUGAAGCCAGAGGAAACUCUGGUGGAGGACCGUAGCGAUUCUGACGUGCAAAUCGAUCGUCAAACGUGAGUAUAGGGGCGAAAGACUAAUCGAACCAUCUAGUAGCUGGUUCCCUCCGAAGUUUCCCUCAGGAUAGCUGGCACUCGAGAAUCAAACAGUUUUAUCCGGUAAAGCGAAUGAUUAGCAGUAUUGGGGAUGAAAUAUCCUCAACUGAUUCUCAAACUUUAAAUGGGUGAGAUGCUCAACUCUCUUAAUAUGGAGUUGUAGCAUUGAAUGUGAGUGCCUAGUGGGCCAUUUUUGGUAAGCAGAACUGGCGAUGUGGGAUGAACCAAACGUUUGGUUAAGGCGCCAAACAUAACGCUCAUCAGACACCACAAAAGGUGUUGGUUGAUUUUGACAGCAGGACGGUGGCCAUGGAAGUCGGAAUCCGCUAAGGAGUGUGUAACAACUCACCUGCCGAAUCAACCAGCCCUGAAAAUGGAUGGCGCUGUAGCGUUGGGCCUAUACCAGACCGUUACCACGAUACAGUAUGUGGUAACGUGUAGGAGGGCGCAGUGGUAAGCAUUGAAGCCUAGGCCGUGAGGCUGGGUGGAGCUGCCACUGGUGCAGAUCUUGGUGGUAGUAGCAAAUAUACAAGUGAGAACCUUGUAGACUGAAGUGGAGAAGGGUUCC